rnacentral:lncRNA from 1 species
CUCCGGGCAGAGCGCGUGUGGCGGCCGAGCACAUGGGCCCGCGGGCCGGGCGGGCUCGGGGCGGCCGGGACGAGGAGGGGCGACGACGAGCUGCGAGCAAAGAUGUGCCCCGGGACCCCCGGCACCUUCCAGUGGAUUUCCUUGCGGAAAGGAUGUUGGCGGUCCCUGUGACCUGUGGAGACACGGCCAGAUCUGCCCUCCAGCCUGAUCUUUUGGCCAGAAGGAGAUUAAAAAGAUGCCCCUCAAGAUGGCUGUGCCUGUCAGCUGCAUGGAGCUUCGUUCAAGUAUUUUCUGAGCCUGAUGGAUUUACAGUGAUCUUCAGUGGUCUGGGGAAUAACGCUGGUGGAACCAUGCACUGGAAUGACACACGCCCGGCACAUUUCAGGAUACUAAAAGUGGUUUUAAGGGAGGCUGUGGCUGAAUGCCUCAUGGAUUCUUACAGCUUGGAUGUCCAUGGGGGACGAAGGACUGCAGCUGGCUGAGAGGGUUGAGAUCUCUGUUUACUUAGAUCUCUGCCAACUUCCUUUGGGUCUCCCUAUGGAAUGUAAGACCCCGACUCUUCCUGGUGAAGCAUCUGAUGCACGUUCCAUCCGGCGCUCAGCUGGGCUUGAGCUGACCAUACUCCCUGGAGCCUUCUCCCGAGGUGCGCGGGUGACCUUGGCACAUACAGCCAUCAUGAUGGUACUUUAAGUGGAGGCUGAAUCAUCUCCCCUUUGAGCUGCUUGGCACGUGGCUCCCUUGGUGUUCCCCUUUUACUGCCAGGACACUGAGAUUUGGAGAGAGUCUCACUCUGUGGUCCAGGCUGAAGUACAGUGGCAUGAUCCCAGGUCACUGCAACCCCCACCUCCCGGGUUCAAGUGAUCCUCCUGCCUCAGCCUCCCGAGUAGCUGGUAUUACAGGCGUGUGCCACAAAGCCUGGCUAAGUUUUGUAUUUUUAGUAGAGACGGGGUUUCACCAUGUUGGCCAGGUUGGUCUCGAACUCCUGACCUCAAGUGAUCCACUCACUUUGGCCUUUCAACGUGCUGGGAUUACAGGCGAGAGUCACCGCACCCGGACGACUCUGACAUUUUUGAAGAGUCCAGAAUCCUGUUACACCUGGGAUUUAGGCACUUUCAAUCUGAAAAAAUACAUAUCCUUUCAGCACUCUGGACGGACUUGAGAACUGUCCUUACGUGACCUAAAGCUGGAGUAUUUUGAGAUUGGAGAAUUAAGAGCCAGUCUUGGUGCUCUGUGUUCACCUGGUUCAUCUGAGGAGCUGCAUCUACCCUGCCCAUGCCAUAGAUCCUGCCCUGUUUGCUUCUCCUGUUGCUGCUAGUGGACAUGAGAAGGACAGAAUAACGGGCUCCCAGAUUCACAAGCCCCACCAAGAGGAUCACCCCAGGAACGCUUGGAGGCUGAGGAGUUCACUGAGGCUACUGCAUCUUGAGACUCAGGAUGAAGACCCAGCUUGGGGCUGUCAAAGAGGCCUGAAGAGGCAGAACACCCCAGAGGAGCCUGGGGCCACCACCCAGCAUCACUGUGGGAAAACGGCAGCAGGAAAUGUCCUCUCGCCUGCGUGCUCCACCUCGGUCCACGCCUUCCCUCCUUCUGGAAGCCUUGCCUGACCACUGGCCUGCCCCUUCUAUGGGAAUCACUACUGACCUUGCAGCUUAUUAUAGACUUAUAUGUUUUUUGCAUGUCUGACACCCAUGACUCCACCUGGACCUUAUGGCUCCACCCAGAAGCAAUUCAGCCCAACAGGAGGACAGCUUCAACCCAUUACGAUUUCAUCUCUGCCCCAACCACUCAGCAGCAAGCACCUGUUACCUGUCCACCCCCACCCCUUCCCCCAAACUGCCUUUGAAAAAUCCCUAACCUAUGAGCUUUGAAUAAGAUGAGUACGAACUUCAUCGCCCACGUGGCGUGGCCGGCCUCGUGUCUAUUAAAUUCUUUUUCUACUA